ensembl:lncRNA
AGAAGUGGUCCUGUCACAUACCUAACUAUCUUCUUUACCUCUGAUGCAUCUGAUACCUGAUUUAUGUUUGAGAUGGAGCAUCUCAACACUGAAAGAAAUGUAGUAUUUUAGUAAAAGCCAUAACAGAGUCAACGGGAUCAAAAAGAUUGUAUGUAAUCUCAAACUGCAAAAAUUAAAUAAUAAAAAAAAAAAAGAAAAAACUUUUAGAAGUAAAACUGGUUCUUAACCUUUACAGUAGGGAAUUAGAAGGAAACUUCUGUUUAGCAUUCUGAUAUGUAAUGCUUCAAGGCAAAACACUGAAAGUAAUGAGAGGCAAUCAUUAUGCUCUGAGAGAAAAUCCUGGGAGUAGAAGGAGCUUUCUCACUAACAACCAGUUCACUCCAGUAGACCAGGAGUUGUUUGGAAGUGAAAGACCAGGAAUGAGAGCUGUAGCUUCACAAAGAUUUUUGCUGGAAGAGCUAGUGAAGUAUCUACGUAUGCAAUAGGUCAAGAGCAUCAUUAAGCUCUAAUCUCUUGGAGGAGAAAAUGCAGGUGAGAAAACCUGCGUUAAGGGAUUUAAGUGCUCUGAGAUGGAAUUCAGGAUGAAGAUAGGUCUGUUGUGUCUGUUGCUGCUUUUCUGUCUCUAAUUGGCCAGUUCUUUACCAGCAGUACCUGAAAACUCAUCUGCUUCAGGAAUCGCUGAGGAGUUCCUUCUGUUAUACUGUAGCCAAUAACCUGAAAUUCAUUUUCUCAUAUGGGUAGAAUUUGAUAGAUAUCAAAUAUCAAUAAAAUUAAUAAAACUUAUAUAUGGCAU